UACGUAGGUGACCAGCGUUGUCCGGAUUUACUGGGCGUAAAGAGCGCGCAGGCGGUCGUUCAAGUCGAGUGUGAAAGCCCCCGGCUCAACUGGGGAGGGUCACUCGAUACUGAUCGACUUGAAGGCAGGAGAGGGAAGCGGAAUUCCCGGUGUAGUGGUGAAAUGCGCAGAUAUCGGGAGGAACACCAAUGGCGAAGGCAGCUUGCUGGGACGGUACUGACGCUGAGGCGCGAAAGCGUGGGGAGCAAACAGG
rnacentral:rRNA from 1 species